rnacentral:rRNA from 1 species
CAGUCGAACGAGACUUUUUAUUUGAUGCUUGCAUCUUUUAAAAAGUUGAGUGGCGAACGGGUGAGUAACACGUGGGUAACCUGCCUUAAAGUGGGGGAUAACACUUGGAAACAGGUGCUAAUACCGCAUAACCAUCAAAACCGCCUGGUUUUGAUGUUAAAGAUGGUUCUGCUAUCGCUUUAAGAUGGAUCCGCGGCGUAUUAGCUAGUUGGUGAGGUAAUGGCUUACCAAGGCAAUGAUACGUAGCCGAACUGAGAGGUUGAUCGGCCACAUUGGGACUGAGACACGGCCCAAACUCCUACGGGAGGCAGCAGUAGGGAAUCUUCCACAAUGGACGAAAGUCUGAUGGAGCAACGCCGCGUGAGUGAAGAAGGUUUUCGGAUCGUAAAACUCUGUUGUCAGAGAAGAACGUGUGUGAGAGUAACUGUUCACGCAGUGACGGUAUCUGACCAGAAAGUCACGGCUAACUACGUGCCAGCAGCCGCGGUAAUACGUAGGUGGCAAGCGUUGUCCGGAUUUAUUGGGCGUAAAGGGAACGCAGGCGGUCUUUUAAGUCUGAUGUGAAAGCCUUCGGCUUAACCGAAGUCGGGCAUUGGAAACUGGGAGACUUGAGUGCAGAAGAGGAGAGUGGAACUCCAUGUGUAGCGGUGAAAUGCGUAGAUAUAUGGAAGAACACCAGUGGCGAAAGCGGCUCUCUGGUCUGUAACUGACGCUGAGGUUCGAAAGCGUGGGUAGCAAACAGGAUUAGAUACCCUGGUAGUCCACGCCGUAAACGAUGAAUGCUAGGUGUUGGAGGGUUUC